GCAGUUUCUGAAUCUUGGCCUGAACUAGAUGGAAAAAAGAAAUAGACCCUCAGGAAACAAGGAAGCAAAACCACCCAACUGUGUGGAAGCCGUGCAUUCAAGCUGCAAACGAGUGGAGUGGCUUCAAUACCUUAACUUAUCCCCAUUGUUGCAAAGGGAGACCCAGAUUCUUGAAUGACCACAAGUGGCCUCGGUUUAACAAGCCUUGCCAAUGAGGCACAAUGUUCCCGUCCUCAGAAAUAGAGCCCGGCAGAGCUUCCAAAGACCCAUAAAAGUCUGCACUUUUGGAAGGAUGUGACAACCCUGGCAACAAGCACAGAUUCGUCAUUCUCUAUAUUAAGAGAACGUUUGGUUGCAUCAGGCUUUUGAGCUGGGCCAACACUUGGUAAAAAUUUGAACCUGGCAAAGUCAAUUUUCAUCUCUAGCCCGAGGCUCCUUACCCUACAGAUGAUCAAUAAACAAGUCACUGUGAGCAGUUAACGAAGUCCUUCCACACUGCCUUCUCAUCCGAAUCUUGUUAUCAGCCUAAUUAUGUUGGUGUUCUUACUAAUUUGACAUUUCUGAAGUGAACACUGAGGCUUAAGCGAGUAGGGUGACUUGUCUAAGGCCACUCAGCUAGUCAGUGAGAGAGUGAGAGCGGCAAGAAGAGUGAGGGCCUCUGAUGUACUUGCGCUCUUUUCCAAGGGAAGAGCUGACCUCGUGUAUUUCUUAAAUGAGUAUUUGGUGCGUAGCUCCAUCUUAAAAAUACCUAUGCUUUAAAGGAUGUCAAACAGGAGAACUGCACUAGACCAUUUAUAGGCAGACCAUACCAAAAAAAAAAAAAAAAAAAAAAAAAAAAGCCAGUUAGGAUUCUUAAGAUGCUGAAGUAGCCUGACCUAUUGGUUCUUAGAAUUACAGAUGAAAAUAAAAUUACAAUUUUUAUUUUAUUUACUUACUUUUGACUGUGGGGCAUAUGUACCUGAAAUGGUCCCAACUCAAAGCAUCAAGGAUACAGGCUGCUGUGGUGAAAUGGCACAAGAAAGGGGUCAUGGCUUCUCCAUGCCUCCAUCUCACUUCUUUCUCAUCUCCUUUGCAUUGGAACCUUCAGAUGUGAAGGCAGGGUGAUGCUGAGGUCCAGUACCUGACACAGGUAUGGGUUUCUAU
rnacentral:lncRNA from 1 species